rnacentral:rRNA from 1 species
UACGUAGGGGGCGAGCGUUCUCCGGAAUUCCUGGGCGUAAAGCGCACGCAGGCGGUUCGCCAAGUUUGGAGUGACAGUUGUCGGCUCAACCGACAAAGGACUUCAAAAACUGGUGAACUUGAGGACGAGAGAGGAACAUGGAACUCCAGGUGUAGUAGUGAAAUGCGUAGAUAUCUGGAAGAACACCAAUGGCGAAGGCAAUGUUCUGGCUCGUUUCUGACGCUCAGGUGCGAAAGCCAGGGGAGCGAACGGG